rnacentral:rRNA from 1 species
GACAGAGGGUGCAACGUUGUUCGGAAUUACUGGGCGUAAAGCGAGUGUAGGCGGUUUGGUAAGUCGGAUGUGAAAGCCCCGGGCUCAACCCGGGAAGUGCACUCGAUACUACCAGGCUAGAGUAUCGGAGAGGUUGGUGGAAUUCUCGGUGUAGAGGUGAAAUGCGCAGAUAUCAGGAGGAACACCGGUGGCGAAGGCGGGUCUCUGGGUAGUAACUGACGCUGAGGAACGAAAGCGUGGGUAGCGAACAGG